UGAGUUGUUCUAUCCGGAUAUCAAGCCACUCAUUCCAUGAGCAUGAAGUUUUGACCCGAUUCAUCACAAGGAUAGUGCUCAUCUUUGAUAUCUUUGAGAUCCAUUGUCUAUCGUGCUAAGGCACUACGAGUUGUAUGAUCAUCUUAGGGUUUCCUUCAUAUACGCCCUUUAGGAUGGUUGUGUUUGGUUUUGUUUUAUUAUAAUAUCUAUGCAGGGCUUGUAGUUGUAUUUGUGCACUAACCUUGCAGCCAAGAC
rnacentral:lncRNA from 1 species